rnacentral:rRNA from 1 species
UACGUAGGGUGCAAGCGUUAAUCGGAAUUACUGGGCGUAAAGCGUGCGCAGGCGGUUUUGUAAGUCUGACGUGAAAGCCCCGGGCUCAACCUGGGAAUUGCGUUGGAGACUGCAAGGCUUGAAUCUGGCAGAGGGGGGUAGAAUUCCACGUGUAGCAGUGAAAUGCGUAGAGAUGUGGAGGAACACCGAUGGCGAAGGCAGCCCCCUGGGUCAAGAUUGACGCUCAUGCACGGAAGCGUGGGGAGCAAACAGG